rnacentral:lncRNA from 1 species
AAAGUUAAAAGUUGCCAUUGCAGUUACUGUCAGACCAAACUAACCCCUGAGAACUCUCCACAUUUGUAAAACGGACGGAAAGGUUCAGUGGCGUUUCCCACCUGGAACAGGACUAGGUAAUGCUUUGAACAUGAAGAGCGGACCUCCCCGGUGAGGAACCAUCAUGGGAAUGAGGAGAUAGGAAUGGCUGAAGGAAACGCCAAGAAGCUCUCCUUUGUGGAGUGAGGGGCCAGUGACGGUUCUGCUUCAACACCAGAGGGGGUGCAAUCCCCGCAGAAAAGGAACACUGUCUCUAAUGUUGCAAAAAGUAACCAGCAUGAAGUUAGCGAGAAGAAACCACUGUUGCUGCUGCUUAACACUGACCCCUACCUGCUUUAGACUUAGAUCCAGAAUGGAGCUAGCACAGUGACUUAUGUAACUCUUACUGGUUUAAGAGAAUGACGUAUAGACAAGAUGCUGCCUCCCAUGGAAAGGUUCCUAUGCAUCAAGCCACUCUAUUUCCCUGUCACUUCCCUAAAAUUAAUUUAUGUAAUUAUGCUGUCAAUGAAGUCCAGCAAC